rnacentral:rRNA from 1 species
GAGUUUGAUCCUGGCUCAGGAUGAACGCUAGCGACAGGCUUAACACAUGCAAGUCGAGGGGCAGCGGGGGAGUAGCAAUACUCCCGCCGGCGACCGGCGCACGGGUGAGUAACACGUAUGAAACCUGCCCGUAGCAGGGGGAUAAGCGGAAGAAAUUCCGUCUAAUACCGCGUAACAACCCUUGGAGGCAUCUCCCCGGGGUUUAAAGGAAGCGAUUCCGGCUACGGAUGGUCAUGCGUCGCAUUAGCUAGUUGGCGGGGUAACGGCCCACCAAGGCGACGAUGCGUAGGGGUUCUGAGAGGAAGGUCCCCCACACUGGUACUGAGACACGGACCAGACUCCUACGGGAGGCAGCAGUGAGGAAUAUUGGUCAAUGGCCGCAGGGCUGAACCAGCCAAGUCGCGUGAGGGAUGACGGUCCUAUGGAUUGUAAACCUCUUUUGUCAGGGAGCAAAGGACGCCACGUGUGGCGUUUUGCGAGUACCUGAAGAAAAAGCAUCGGCUAACUCCGUGCCAGCAGCCGCGGUAAUACGGAGGAUGCGAGCGUUAUCCGGAUUUAUUGGGUUUAAAGGGUGCGCAGGCGGAAUGUCAAGUCAGCGGUAAAAUUUCGGGGCUCAACCCCGUCGUGCCGUUGAAACUGGCGUUCUUGAGUGAGCGAGAAGUAUGCGGAAUGCGUGGUGUAGCGGUGAAAUGCAUAGAUAUCACGCAGAACUCCGAUUGCGAAGGCAGCAUACCGGCGCUCAACUGACGCUCAUGCACGAAAGCGUGGGUAUCGAACAGGAUUAGAUACCCUGGUAGUCCACGCAGUAAACGAUGAAUACUAACUGUCCGGGCCGAUUGAGGUCUGGGUGGUACAGCGAAAGCGUUAAGUAUUCCACCUGGGGAGUACGCCGGCAACGGUGAAACUCAAAGGAAUUGACGG